CACACCGCACCACACCCUGGUGACACCACCACUGGCCCCUCAGGCGUCAGAUUCGGUGGCUGCCACGAACUCGCCGGCGCGGCGGCCACCUCACGCCAUCAGAUCGGCUGGGCGCCGUCCGCCGAGCUGCCGAGGUCAGGUCGCAACGUGCCACAAGGCGGCGUAACGUGACACGACCCGAGGGGCCCCGAGGCUGCUCAUCGUCGCACCCACCGGGCUGACGCGGCGGAGGAGCGGCAGCCCCGUCCCCGUCGGCCCAGUCCUGCACCUAGGGCUAGCGGGAGGCCGGGAGCUCGCCAAAUUAGUUGGAGGAGGCACAGGACUGAGGACCCGGAUUAUUAUUUUGGUCAUGGAGAUGGAACCAAUGUGAGGAGAAUUCUCUGAGAUCACAUGGUCCGAGAGGUUUUCGAAGGGCUGCUGGUCUCUAAUCCACGGCGAGAAUGCUGCCACGAACCUACACUCCUGCACAGUCAGUGGUCAGACUCAGACCGUAUGGAUUCCUGAUCCUUGGUAUGUGGCUUUAAUGCUUUAUGAACAAAGUCCCUUCAGUUGCCUUGGGUCACAUGAUUUCCAGCAGUUGUCUGGUCAUUAUGAUUCUGUGUAGUAUCGGUGUGGUGGGUCAUUAUGUGUUCAAUGAGGAAUGGGACUGUUGUUGUCUGCGCCUUGGAACCUUGCUAUUCCUCAGCUGUACCCUACACUCAUUUUCUUUUGAUUUUUAUGGGGCUAUUCUACGCUCGUUGAAUGCAUGAAAGGUUGGUGUUCUUUCACCAUCCUCUCGACCUCUCCUAAACCCCACUACAAUUAUGGCUUGGCGCAUUCAGAAAAUUAAUUAUGCCCACUUGUCUUUUGAUGGCACCCAUGUUUUCAUACUUGCAAACAAAAUCUAGUUAAGCUGUUACGUCUCGAUUCAAUGUAUGUCUGUUACGUUUUUAUAAAGUAUGCCCGUUUAAUAUAUUUUUUAUUCGUUUUCAGUAUAUACUAAGCUCCUUGCUAUAGAAAAAAAAUGUAAAAUUCCUUUUUGAAAAAAGAAAAAUAUAAAACUAGCCUGUCGGUCUUGUAGAGCAUUUGAGCGAUGACUUCGAGUUGCUCUCUUGAUGAUAUCAACGUUGGGAAUCAAUGAAAGCUUGUCUUUUAUGUUGGAUCUGAGUAUCAGACAUGUAAAAUCCUGACAUCGAAACAAUUUGGAGUUAUUUGCGAGGUGUGAGUCCUUGUGAUCAACAAGUUAGCUCUCGUAGUACAAUACAAAUCUAGUUAAGAUAGGAGAGAGGAUUUUUGCUAGCCACCUGUGCUCUGUGAUCUGUCCCACUAGUAGCCACAACUGCAAUACACAGUGUUCUAUAUAAAUCUAACUCAUUGUUCCCCAGAGAGUACCAAGUGCUUAAAAUGUUUUAUUCAAGUAUAGAUCUUUACAGAAGAAUGUUCAACCAUUCAUUAAAAUAUCUUCUGUUGUCUACAUAAUAGAUUUAAGUGUCGGACUGUGUUUAAUUAUGAAGAGAAGUGCGACUCAAGUGAAACGUCUGAAAUGGAGUUGAGCUAAACUUGAAACUAUCUUUUGUGAACAUUUGAUUUGAACGAGUUGUACCUGAGUAAAUAGGCUUCCAUGAAUAAUUCGUAGUGUAUUUGUACUGUCUGCAAUUGUUGCAUAGCGAAGGUCUUCUCUCAAAUGGCUUGACACAAUCCCAAUACCAUCCUUGAAUAAUUGAUUACUCAAGGCCCUAUCAUGUGCCUUAAACAUGUUGUACUUGUGUAUAUAUAACCGGUAUGACUACAAUCCACCCAUAACCAAAGAAAAACAAGCUCAACAAAAAUGCCGCCCAUCCAAGACAAGCAUAGCUCUCAGGAGCUGCUCCAGGCUCAAGUUAACCUUUGGCACCAUGCACUGGGAUUCGUCAAGUCCAUGGCACUCAAAUGUGCAAUGGAACUGCAAAUCCCUAACACCAUCCAACACCAUGGUGGGCUUAUGACCCCGUCAGAGUUGGCCACAAAGAUCGGCCUCCAUCCGUCUAAGCUUCCCCGCUUACGGCGACUCAUGCGUGUGCUCACCAUAUCAGGCAUCUUUGCUGUUCAUGAGGCAGCCUCGCCAGGCAAGGAGGUUGUUUACGGGCUUACCCCAACCACACGCCUACUCGUCGGUGAUGAAGUUAAAUCAAACUUAUUUCCUAUUCUAUCUUUGAUGCUUGAUUCAACUGUCAUUGCCCCCUUUUUGGGCAUGCACUCAUGGUUCCUAGAUGAGCAUUCCACGUCCCUGUUCAAAAAGGCCCACAGCCUUAACUUUUGGGAGAUGGCUGAGCAGGAUGAUACUUACAACCAGAUACUCAAUAAUGCAAUGGUUUCUGAUAGUAACUUUCUCACGGACAUCAUCUUAAGGGAGUGUGGUGAUGUAUUUCUUGGCAUAAACUCUCUUAUUGAUGUUGGUGGAGGCCACGGUGGAGCUGCCAGGGCAAUUGUGAAUGCAUUCCCGCAAAUGAAAUGCACCGUGUUGGAUCUCCCUCAUGUUAUUGCAGAAGCUCCUAGUGAUGUCCAUGUGUCGUUUAUUUCUGGCGAUAUGUUUAAGUAUAUUCCGCCAGCAAAUGCUCUUUUCCUAAAGUGGGUUUUUCAUGAUUGGGGUGAUGAAGACUGUGUCAAGUUAUUGAAAAAUUGCAAGGAAGCUAUUCCUCCCAGAGAUGCUGGUGGAAAGGUGAUAAUCGUAGAUAUGGUGGUUGGAUCUGGGCUAAAUGAGAUUGUAACAAGAGAGACACAUGUUUUAUAUGAUCUAUUUAUCAUGUGCGUUGAGGGGAUUGAGCGAGAGGAAUUUGAGUGGAAAAGGAUAUUCAUGGAAGCUGGAUUCGGCGACUACAAGAUUAUAUCAGUGCUGGGAGUUAGAUCUGUUAUUGAGCUCUACCCUUGAACACUCAAUUAAAAAUUACAUGGGUUUUUUUCUUCCAAAAGUUAUAUGCUUGGAUCCAUUUUAGUAAGACUGCAUCUGCAUGCUGCUGUGUUCAGAUUGCUCUUGGUGAUUCAGUGAUGCAAUUCUGAAUUUCAGUAAACAUGUGAGGAAUGGACCCAUUUUUCAGGUCCUCUCUGCCUCAGUGGCGCCUGUAAACCGGAUCAAUGGAGAUAAAGAGAAGCAUAUAUUGUCCCCAACAUUUGUCCCUGGAGAUAAUUCUGAUCUUGUGCUGGAUGUCAUCAUAUAACCAAGGGACUUGCAGUGUCAGCACUGCAAGUCUUUAGAUAGCUCUGGUAGCUUUCAGGUGUUUCACUUCAUAAAUCUUUUGAUGUUACUUACCAAAAAAGUUCAGGUAAUAGUUCUCUUUCACCGGAUUUAUGGGAUUUUUUGCUUGUAAUCUUUUUGUUAAAAAUAAAAUAAAUGAUAUAAUAAUGUUUACUAUCCUUGUUUUGUGACAUAAUUUUUUUAUAUGAAUGACG